rnacentral:lncRNA from 1 species
GGUUACUGAGCCCUUCCUCUAGUGCCAAACUGUUGCAUCAAGACUCCAGAGGAUAUUUAUAUGAACAAGGAUAGAGGACGGUUCAAGCAUCAGGAUGCCAACAAGGACCUACAAAAGUAGUCCACACUCAUCAGGAGUUCUUUGAUGGGGGACCCUUCGAUGAUUAAGUAAGCUAGAGCUUGGGAAUAGUAAAAAAAGAGAGGAAGAAGGGUGGAAGCACAAAGGGCAUUUUCA